CAGUAGCCACGGUAAUACGUAGGUGGCAAGCGUUGUCCGGAAUUAUUGGGCGUAAAGGGCUCGCAGGCGGUUUCUUAAGUCUGAUGUGAAAGCCCCCGGCUCAACCGGGGAGGGUCAUUGGAAACUGGGAAACUUGAGUGCAGAAGAGGAGAGUGGAAUUCCACGUGUAGCGGUGAAAUGCGUAGAGAUAUGGAGGAACACCAGUGGCGAAGGCGACUCUCUGGUCAGUAACUGACGCUGAGGAGCGAAAGCGUGGGGAGCGAACAGGAUUAGAUACCCCAGUAGUCCCUGUCUCUUAUAC
rnacentral:rRNA from 1 species